rnacentral:rRNA from 1 species
GACGAACGCUGGCGGCGUGCCUAAUACAUGCAAGUCGAACGCUUCUUUCCUCCCGAGUGCUUGCACUCAAUUGGAAAGAGGAGUGGCGGACGGGUGAGUAACACGUGGGUAACCUACCCAUCAGAGGGGGAUAACACUUGGAAACAGGUGCUAAUACCGCAUAGCAGUUUAUGCCGCAUGGCAUAAGAGUGAAAGGCGCUUUCGGGUGUCGCUGAUGGAUGGACCCGCGGUGCAUUAGCUAGUUGGUGAGGUAACGGCUCACCAAGGCCACGAUGCAUAGCCGACCUGAGAGGGUGAUCGGCCACACUGGGACUGAGACACGGCCCAGACUCCUACGGGAGGCAGCAGUAGGGAAUCUUCGGCAAUGGACGAAAGUCUGACCGAGCAACGCCGCGUGAGUGAAGAAGGUUUUCGGAUCGUAAAACUCUGUUGUUAGAGAAGAACAAGGACGUUAGUAACUGAACGUCCCCUGACGGUAUCUAACCAGAAAGACACGGCUAACUACGUG